rnacentral:rRNA from 1 species
UACGGAGGGUGCAAGCGUUAUCCGGAUUCACUGGGUUUAAAGGGUGCGUAGGUGGGUUUGUAAGUCAGCGGUGAAAUCUCCAGGCUUAACUCGGAAACUGCCAUUGAUACUAUAGAUCUUGAAUUUUCUGGAGGUAAGCGGAAUAUGUCAUGUAGCGGUGAAAUGCUUAGAUAUGACAUAGAACACCAAUUGCGAAGGCAGCUUGCUACAGGAAUAUUGACACUGAGGCACGAAAGCGUGGGGAUCAAACAGG